UACGGGGGGGGUAAGCGUUGUUCGGAAUUACUGGGCGUAAAGGGCUCGUAGGCGGCCAACUAAGUCGGAUGUGAAAUCCCCAGGCUUAACCUGGGAACUGCAUCCGAUACUGGAUGGCUUGAAUCCGGGAGAGGGAUGCGGAAUUCCAGGUGUAGCGGUGAAAUGCGUAGAUAUCUGGAGGAACACCGGUGGCGAAGGCGGCAUCCUGGACCGGCAUUGACGCUGAGGAGCGAAAGCCAGGGGAGCAAACGGG
rnacentral:rRNA from 1 species